rnacentral:rRNA from 1 species
UCCAGACUCCUACGGGAGGCAGCAGUGGGGAAUAUUGCACAAUGGGCGCAAGCCUGAUGCAGCAACGCCGCGUGAGCGAAGAAGGUCUUCGGAUCGUAAAGCUCUGCCCUUGAGGAAGAAGGAAGUGACGGUACUCAAGGAGGAAGCCCCGGCUAACUACGUGCCAGCAGCCGCGCUAAUACGUAGGGGGCAAGCGUUAUCCGGAUUUACUGGGUGUAAAGGGAGCGUAGACGGAAAGGCAAGUCAGAAGUGAAAGCCCAAGGCUCAACCAUGGGACUGCUUUUGAAACUGUCAAACUAGAGUACGGGAGAGGUAAGAGGAAUUCCUAGUGUAGCGGUGAAAUGCGUAGAUAUUAGGAGGAACACCGGUGGCGAAGGCGGCCUGCUGGACUGCGACUGACGUUGAGGCCCGAAAGCGUGGGGAGCAAACAGGAUUAGAUACCCGAGUAAG